GCUCUCAUCGUCUAGUGGUCCAGGACAUCGCCCUCUCACGGCGAAGAUCGCGGGUUCAAAUCCCGCUGGGAGUA
rnacentral:tRNA from 1 species